GACGAACGCUGGCGGCGUGCUUAACACAUGCAAGUCGAACGGAGUGGCAAACGGGUGAGCAACAGGGGGGUGAGCGGGCCUGCAAUGCGGGAAAAGCCGGGGAAACGGGGUAUAAUACCGGAGAGUGUGGGAUGGGCCCGCGGCCUAUCAGCUUGUUGGGGGGGUAAGGGCCUACCAAGGCGGCGACGGGUAGCCGGCCUGGGAGGGUGGACGGCCACAUUGGGACUGAGACACGGCCCAGACUCCUACGUGAGGCAGCCGUGGGGAAUAUUGCACAAUGGGCGGAAGCCUGAUGCAGCGACGCCGCGUGGGGGAUGACGGCCUUCGUGUUGUACACUCCUUUCACCAUCGACGCGGUAGAUGGAGAAGAAGCACCGGCUAACUACGUGCCAGCAGCCGCGGUAAUUC
rnacentral:rRNA from 1 species